UACGGGAGGCAGUAGUGGGGAAUAUUGCACAAUGGGCGCAAGCCUGAUGCAGCCAUGCCGCGUGUAUGAAGAAGGCCUUCGGGUUGUAAAGUACUUUCAGUCGUGAGGAAGGUGUUAAGGUUAAUAACCUUAGCAAUUGACGUUAGCGACAGAAGAAGCACCGGCUAACUCCGUGCCAGCAGCCGCGGUAAUACGGAGGGUGCGAGCGUUAAUCGGAAUUACUGGGCGUAAAGGGCACGCAGGCGGUUAAUUAAGUUGGAUGUGAAAUCCCCGGGCUUAACCUGGGAAUGGCAUUCAAGACUGGUUAGCUAGAGUCUUGUAGAGGGGGUAGAAUUCCAUGUGUAGCGGUGAAAUGCGUAGAGAUGUGGAGGAAUACCGGUGGCGAAGGCGGCCCCUGGGACAAAGACUGACGCUCAUGUGCGAAAGCGUGGGGAGCAAACAGGGAUUAGAUACC
rnacentral:rRNA from 1 species